UGAAUGAAAGAUAAUCCUAUACAAUUAUGUUGUAUAACUUGUUUAAAAAUAAAACUAAAAUUACCACGUAACUAAAAUGUUCUACGCCAAGUGAAUAAUGCACAUUUUAAAAAACUUAAAAUCAACUAUAAUUCAGAAGUUAACACUAAGAUUUUGGACACCAAUUUCUCAACUAGUUCUGAAGUCUUAUGAACAACAAGACUUUUG
rnacentral:lncRNA from 1 species